GGUCAGAUGGCCGAGCGGUCUAAGGCGCUAGACUCAAGUAGUGAUUGUACAACUUGGCUAUCUCAGAUAGUUAGCAUUCUAGUAUCGAAAGAUGCGUGGGUUCGAAUCCCACUCUGAUCA